ensembl:miRNA
CCGGUGGCAAGGUGGAUGCAAUGUGACCUCAACACUUGGUCCUCUGAGGUCACAUUGUAUCCACCUUACCACUGG